rnacentral:lncRNA from 1 species
AUGGACGCCAAAAGGAGAGCAGUUUUGUCAAUCACACUGGACACUUUCCUAGAACAGGAAAUCAUGGCUGUGAUUUUCCUGAAACAGUUCCAGAAUCUCGUGGAAGAAGAUAGAAGUAAACGCAAACGGGCUGUGGUUGAGGCUCUGUAUGUGCUGCGGCCCAGAGUGAACAUCAUCCUGAAGUCUGGCACAGAGUGGCAGAUAAUGCUAGACAUGGAUGAUCACACAUUUGCCCGGCAUUUCAGAGUAUCCAAAACCCGGUUUGACGUCCUUAAAGGGUACCUACAGGAGGGUGGCCUGCAAAGUGACCGCAGCCAUGGGCUUCCCCCCCUGCCUAUUCCCAAGAAGGUACUCAUGUUCCUGUGGUACAUGGGUAACCAGAACAGCUUCCGGGAGAUAUCAGACAAGUUUAACGUCUCAUCUUCAUCAGCACACCGCGCCAUACUCCAAGUGCUAACCAUCAUGUCCACCCUUGGCUGGGCUUUUGUCUCUUGGCCUAAAGGCUGUGAGAAGAGGGCGUCUGCCACCAGCUUCCAACGCACAUGUGGCCUUGAGAGGGUCAUUGGAGCGAUUGAUGGCUGCCACAUUAGAAUACAGUGUCCACGGGUCAGAGGAGUGGACUACAUGAACAGGAAGUCCUUCUACUCUGUCCUCCCCCUAGGGGAUUGUGGAUGCUGAAGGCCGAUUCAUCAAUGUCUUCACUGGAAUGCCUGGCAAAGUGCAUGAUGCCCGGCUGCUGCAGUCCUCCUGGUUUUUCCAAGAAUGGCAGGAGAGGAUGGGGAGUACCGUCUGCUGGGGGAUAGUGCAUACAUCGGUCAGGAUUUUCCCUUCAUCAUCUCCCCCCGGCGUGACAACGGGGCUCUUACUGAUGCAGACCUUCGUCGCAACACCGACAUCAGCCGGGGAAGAGUCAUCAUUGAGCAGGCAUUUGGGAGAAUGAAAUGCAAGUGGAGGCGCAUUAGAGAUUUGCAGAACACAUGCACUGUCACUAUUGCGAAGAUCAUCUUGGCUGCAUGUUAUCUUCACAACUUUGCCCAAGGUGCCUCGAUAGGGUGUGAUGAACACCCAGAUGGAUGUCCAAGAGAGGAUGAUGCCAACCAGUAGGAAGAGGUGUUCCUGCAAUUCUUGGCAAAACAAAAUACUAUUUCUGACUUCUAUUAUGUUAAUUAUUCAUUACGUUCAUUCAUCUAUUAUGUUCACUUUUCCUGUG